CCUACGGGAGGCUGCAGUGAGGAAUAUUGGUCAAUGGACGAGAGUCUGAACCAGCCAAGUAGCGUGAAGGAUGACUGCCCUAUGGGUUGUAAACUUCUUUUAUAUGGGAAUAAAAUGUUCCACGUGUGGGAUUUUGUAUGUACCAUAUGAAUAAGGAUCGGCUAACUCCGUGCCAGCAGCCGCGGUAAUACGGAGGAUCCGAGCGUUAUCCGGAUUUAUUGGGUUUAAAGGGAGCGUAGGUGGAUUGUUAAGUCAGUUGUGAAAGUUUGCGGCUCAACCGUAAAAUUGCAGUUGACACUGGCAGUCUUGAGUACAGUAGAGGUGGGCGGAAUUCGUGGUGUAGCGGUGAAAUGCUUAGAUAUCACGAAGAACUCCGAUUGCGAAGGCAGUUCACUAGACUGCAACUGACACUGAGGCUCGAAAGUGUGGGUAUCAAACAGGAUCAGAUACCCCUGUAGUC
rnacentral:rRNA from 1 species